GAUGAACGCUGGCGGCGUGCCUAUUAAUGGAAGUCGAGGGGACAGGCGGGGGGGUUUCCUCUUCUGCGUUUAGCGCGGACGGGGUAGGAAAACGUGGGUUACCCAACUUUUAGCCUUGGGCUACCUUCGGGAAACCGAGGCAAAUACCGAUUAUAAUUUUGACCCGCUUGUUUCAUUAUUAAAAGCCGGUUUUCCUGUAACUAUUAGUUGAUUCCCCGCCGCAUUAGCUAGUUGUUAAGGUAACGGCUUACCAAGGCAACGAUGCGUAGCCGACCUGAGAGGGUGAUCGGCCACACUGGAACUGAGACACGGUCCAGACUCCUACGGGAGGCAGCAGUAGGGAAUCUUCCGCAAUGGGCGAAAGCCUGACGGAGCAACGCCGCGUGAGUGAUGAAGGUCUUCGGAUCGUAAAACUCUGUUAUUAGGGAAGAACAAAUGUGUAAGUAACUAUGCACGUCUUGACGGUACCUAAUCAGAAAGCCACGGCUAACUACGUG
rnacentral:rRNA from 1 species